CACGUAGGGGCCAAGCGUUGUCCGGAUUCAUUGGGCGUAAAGAGCUCGUAGGCGGUUCAGUUAGUCGGGUGUGAAAUCUCCGGGCUCAACCCGGAGGGGCCACCCGAUACUGCUGUGACUCGAGUCCGGUAGGGGAGUGGGGAAUUCCUGGUGUAGCGGUGAAAUGCGCAGAUAUCAGGAGGAACCCCGGUGGCGAAGGCGCCACUCUGGGCCGGUACUGACGCUGAGGAGCGAAAGCGUGGGUAGCAAACAGG
rnacentral:rRNA from 1 species